rnacentral:rRNA from 1 species
UGUGAUUAAAAAAAUACUUGAGUAGUAUGAGUUAUGUUCUUUAAACUUAAAGAAUUUGGCGGUGCUUUAGUCUGUUCAGAGGAACCUGUCCUGUAAUCGAUAGCCCACGUAGGAUCUUACUUAAUUUUGUUAUCAGCUUAUAUACCGCCGUCGUCAGAAUGUCUUUAGAAAGAUGGAAUUUUCUUAAAUUUUUAUUAAAAAUGAUGUCAGGUCAAGGUGUAGUUUAUAAUUAAGUAGUGAUGGGUUACAAUAAAUUUAUUUAAAUGGAUUAUUUUUUGAAAAAGGGGUAUGAAGGUGGAUUUGAGUGUAAUUUUGUUUAUAAUGUUAAUUUGAUUUUAGCUCUAAA